rnacentral:rRNA from 1 species
UACGUAGGGUGCGAGCGUUGUCCGGAAUUAUUGGGCGUAAAGAGCUCGUAGGCGGCCUGUCGCGUCGGUUGUGAAAGCCCGGGGCUUAACCCCGGGUCUGCAGUCGAUACGGGCAAACUAGAAUUCGGUAGGGGAGACUGGAAUUCCUGGUGUAGCGGUGAAAUGCGCAGAUAUCAGGAGGAACACCGGUGGCGAAGGCGGGUCUCUGGGCCGAUAUUGACGCUGAGGAGCGAAAGCGUGGGGAGCGAACAGG